rnacentral:rRNA from 1 species
GUCGUGGGGCAGCAGGUCUGUAGCAAUACAGAUGCUGGCGACCGGCAAACGGGUGCGUAACACGUACGCAACUUACCCAUUACAGGGGAAUAGCCCAGGGAAACUUGGAUUAAUACCCCAUAUUAUAUAGGAUUGGCAUCAAUCUUAUAUCAAAGCUUCGGCGGUAAUGGAUGGGCGUGCGGUUGAUUAGAUAGUUGGCGGGGUAACGGCCCACCAAGUCUACGAUCAAUAGCUGAUGUGAGAGCAUGAUCAGCCACACGGGCACUGAGACACGGGCCCGACUCCUACGGGAGGCAGCAGUAAGGAAUAUUGGGCAAUGGACGAAAGUCUGACCCAGCCAUGCCGCGUGAAGGAUGAAGGUCCUCUGGAUUGUAAACUUCUUUUAUCUGGGGCGAAAAUCACCCUUUCUAGGGUGCUUGACAGUACCAGAGGAAUAAGCACCGGCUAACUCCGUGCCAGCAGCCGCGGUAAUACGGAGGGUGCAAGCGUUAUCCGGAUUUACUGGGUUUAAAGGGUGCGUAGGCGGGCAGGUAAGUCAGUGGUGAAAUCCCCGAGCUUAACUCGGGAACUGCCGUUGAUACUAUCUGUCUUGAAUAUCGUGGAGGUAAGCGGAAUAUGUCAUGUAGCGGUGAAAUGCUUAGAUAUGACAUAGAACACCAAUUGCGAAGGCAGCUUGCUACACGAUUAUUGACGCUGAGGCACGAAAGCGUGGGGAUCAAACAGGAUUAGAUACCCUGGUAGUCCACGCCC